UACGUAGGGCGCAAGCGUUGUCCGGAAUUAUUGGGCGUAAAGAGCUCGUAGGCGGCUUGUCGCGUCGAUUGUGAAAGCCCGGGGCUUAACCUCGGGUCUGCAGUCGAUACGGGCUGGCUAGAGUGUGGUAGGGGAGAUCGGAAUUCCUGGUGUAGCGGUGAAAUGCGCAGAUAUCAGGAGGAACACCAAUGGCGAAGGCAGCUCGCUGGAACGGUACUGACGCUGAGGCGCGAAAGCGUGGGGAGCGAACAGG
rnacentral:rRNA from 1 species